rnacentral:tRNA from 1 species
GCCUUUAUAGCUUAAAUAUCCAAAGCACAGCUCUGAAAAGGCUUAGAUGGUUUUCUGACCUAAUGGCA